CUAUCAUAUAAUCUAUUAUUCGCUGAUUCAUAAUAACGUCACUUCAAAGCAUGCACAAUACAUUUGGCAAUCACUCAAAACACGAGGUCAUAAUGUUGUAUAAAAUAUGCUAAAUACAUCAAAUAUGUGGGCAGCUGAGAAAACUUUGCUCUCAAAGACACAGUCUCAUCUAUAGUAGCACGUCUCAGUUCGACAAUCGAAGCUCAUUUCCAUAUUAACCGAAACACAAUCGCUGCAGCGGUGGUUUAUGUGUCUGGCUGGCUGCAAGAAAUUAAAAAUUCUUCAGAGCUUCGGCCAACGGCGCGUCGUCAGGAUGUUACUGACGAACAUCCUGGCUUUGGGUGUUUUUAAUCUUCAAUGUUUCGAGGAACACAAUACUGACAAUAGCAACCUAUUGUAACCAGAGAAUACAGCCUAUACACUGCAGGAUGGACCCCUAUGUUUGAGCCCAAAUGAUACAAUUCAGGGCUGUGACCGGAAUCAUAAACCGAAUAACUGAUAAACAGGUUAUGGGAAAAUCCGCUACACAUUUCUGCCAACAUUAACGCUUCCUAUAAUCAUG